AGCCGCGGUAAUUCCAGCUCCAAUAGCGUAUAUUAAAGUUGUUGCAGUUAAAAAGCUCGUAGUUGAAUUUCGGGAUCAAUAUGUUGGUCGUGCCUUUGGUACGUACUAGCUUAUUGAUUUCUCCCUUCUGACGAACCAUGAUGUCAUUAAUUUGGUGUCAUGGGGAAUCAGGACUGUUACUUUGAAAAAAUUAGAGUGUUUAAAGCAGGCUUACGCUUGAAUAUAUUAGCAUGGAAUAAUGAAAUAGGACGUUUUGAUUCUAUUUUGUUGGUUUCUAGGAUCGACGUAAUGAUUAAUAGGGAUAGUUGGGGGCAUUAGUAUUCAAUUGUCAGAGGUGAAAUUCUUGUAUUUAUUGAAGACUAACUACUGCGAAAGCAUUUGCCAAGGAUGUUUUCAUUAAUCAAGAACGAAAGUUAGGGGAUCGAAGACGAUCAGAUACCGUCGUAGUCUUAACCAUAAACUAUGCCGACUAGGGAUCGGAUGAUGUUAAUUUUUUAAUGACUCAUUCGGCGCCUUACG
rnacentral:misc_RNA from 1 species